UGGCGUGGGCGGGACACGGGAACAGCUCUGGCGUCUUCAUAAUGAUGGUAUCCAAGUCUCCGAUCCAGUACGGGUGAACGCCUAAAACCAUGUGGACAUGUGGAGUUACAUAAGAUGCGCUCUCAAGGUUGGACGACGCGAACAGCAUACGCACCAUUGUUGCUGGACUGAAGUUUGUUAUCAUCGGCUUGCAGACCCUCUUCCCGCGUAGCGACACACAUUCUCCAGAAACUGCUUUCCUGUUCCAGAGGAGCCAUCACAUCAGUCAGACAAGGCACUACUAUUCCUCUGUAUAAAGAGCAGUUAACAACCAAAAAAAAAAAGAAAAAAAGUCUACACUCUGACAGCUGAGGGGUAAUGAGUUGGGCAGAACCACAGAAUCUCCCAUCACACCAGCCAUGUGAUAAUGAUUCACUUCAGCAGGAGACAUCCCUGUGAUCCAGGGAGGCACGCCAGAACUAAGAGUGCAUGGAAAACUUUUGAGAAAUACUCUGGCAUUCUCAGAUAUCAUCAUCAUCAUCAGGAUUCAUCAAAUGUGAAACUAAUGCAUACAAGCCUCACAGUUCAGUGCCGCUUUACAAUGUUUGUAUAUAAUUGUAUAUCAAUUUUAGAUCGAACAUUUAACUGUAUUUUUACA